GGCCUGCCCGGAGCGCGCUCUGCGCAUGCGCCAGGCGGGCCGUUCGAAGGCGCGGCGGGAACGGGCGGGGAGGAGGCUUCGAUACCAAGUGAAUAAAGAUGUCAAUUGUCACAGUGCAGCUCGGGCAGUGUGGGAACCAGAUUGGGCACGAGGUGUUCAGUGCCCUCUGCAGUGACACCCGUGGCACCCACGGGCUGUGCUCCAGGAGGGAGAACCAGUCCUACCAGGAUUCCUGCAGGGAACGGUUCUUCUGCGAGGAGCAAUCUGCAGUGCCUGAGGCCCGGGCUGUGCUCGUUGACAUGGAGCCCAAGGUGAUCAGCCAGACCUUGUCCACGGCUGCCAGCUCUGGCCUCUGGAAGUACAGCAGCCACUCCCACUUCUGCCAGAAGCAAGGCUCUGGGAACAACUGGGCCAACGGUUACUGUGUGCAUGGGCCCAGGCACAAAGAAGCCAUCAUGAACCUGGUGCAGAAGGAGGCAGAGAGGUGUGACCGACUGGGGGGAUUUUUCACCAUCAUGAGCAUGGCUGGGGGCACAGGAUCAGGCCUGGGGGCGUUUGUCACCCAGUGUCUGAGGGAUGCUUUCCCAGCCUCCUUCAUCCUGAACCACGUCAUCUGGCCCUAUGGCACUGGGGAGGUCAUUGUUCAAAACUACAACUCUGUUUUGACUCUGUCACAUCUGUACCACUCAUCAGAUGCCCUUCUUGUCCAUGAAAAUGAUGUCAUCCACAAGAUCUGUGCCCAGCUGAUGAAUAUCAAACAGAUUUCCUUCAGGGAUGUCAACCAAGUCAUUGCUCACCAGCUGGGCAGCGUUUUCCAGCCCACUCACACAGCAGGAGGGGGCUCAGGCUACAGCAGGAGCCCCUUAGGAGAUUUAAUGGAGGCACUGGUCCCACAUCCCGAGUUCAAGAUGCUGGGCCUGAGGAACAUCCCCCAGAUGCCUGAGAGCUCCCUGCCCUACAGCACCUUCAGCUGGCCCGGCCUCCUCAAACACCUCAGGCAGAUGCUCAUUGCUAAUGCCCAGAUGGAGGAAGGUAUUGAUUGGCAGGUACGACCACCACACCCAGGCUCCUCCAUCCCCUCCACAAACAAAGCCCUGCACUUCAACACUUCCAUUGCCAACCUGGUUGUCCUGAGAGGAAAAGAUGUGCACAGCGUGGACUUGGGAAGUUUCCAAGACCCCUCCUUAUACACAUCAUGGCUAAACCCCCAGGAUGCCUUCAAUGCAUGGAAAACUCCCAGAGCAUUUAACAAGUAUGAAAAGUCUGCUGCUUUGGUCAGCAACAGCCAGUUCCUGCUGAAGCCUCUGGACAGCAUCGUAGGAAAAGCUUGGAACAUGUUUGCUUCCAAAGCUUACCUUCACCAGUACACAAAGUUUGGAAUCCAGGAGGAAGAUUUCCUGGACUGCUUCACAACCCUGGAACAAGUGAUCUCCAGUUACACCAAUCUGUGAUUUAUUUCUGUGUUAACAUGGUCUGAAAUAGAGACUUCUGAGAGAACCAAGCUGGAAAACCUUCCAUCAACCCCCUGAAAAGAAACUGCAGGAGAGAUUGCACAAGAAGUUCAGACAAACAGCACAGGCAAUUCGAGUUUGCAGGAACAAAGGGUCAGGAAAGGAGACCAUGAUCACAAACAGAAUUUCCAGAAAUGAGAAUAGGUAACUGCAUGAAAAAUUGGCCAAGUCCCAGGAAUCCUUUUCCUUCUCACUUCACAGAACAGGUAAAAGUUUUUCAAAAGGCUAAGGACAGGUAAGUGCCCUGAGAAACAAGGAAGAGAGCAGUGGGUCAUUCAGUGCUGUAGCAAUAAAUAACUUUAUUGCAGAAAUAACCUCAUGUUAUCUCUGUAUUCAUAAUUCUGAGCAUGAGGCAAACACAGCAGGUGCUCAGUGAACCUAUGAAUGAUAUAGAACCAUAUUUGUUAUUUAUUUAUGGCACUUCAUAUAUCCUGCUAAUGGAGCAGGAUGUUUGGUCUUUUUUGUUUGUGUGAUGGCAGAAUUUGUGCCACAUCAGGAAGCACAGCACACAGGCAAGAUGUCUAACCCCAAAGCAAAAAUUCACAUUUUAGCUGCUAUAGUCCCUUAGUGCUCUGGAGCAGGGGCUGACAGGAAUUGUUUUGGGCAUCUCUAAGCUUCUUCCUGUGAAUGUUUUCCAGUCCUGAAAUUCUCACACCCUUUCCCAAACUCAGCCUUCAUUUUUUUUUGAUCUAUGAUGGGAUUCCUUUAUUUUUUCCCCAGGAUGUGGAGAGGGUCAAAGUGACAGGAAGUGAACAGCCACUAUCAAAUACUCAUCACCUGCAAUUACAUUAAAAGGUGGAGGAGUAAUUCUCUACCUAAUUGAUACAAUUAAUUAUGUAAAUGGAGCCUGGAAGAAGGCCUUUAUUUCAUUAACAAUUACAAUUAAAGAGGUAGAUCAAAGGUCAGCACAGCUCAGAGACAGGAACAGCAGAAUCAGUGGCCUUGACCUUGCUUGUUGUAGGCAAAGUCCCCACAGGAUGUCCACAAAGCAGGAACAAUGCUCCAAAUCUCACUAUUGUUUGUGCAAGGGACAGGUGCAGCUCACUGGGAAGCUGAUUCAAGAGCUCCAACUGUAGCAGACAUUUCAUGAAUAGGAGAACAUUUAUUUGACCACAAAAAGCCAAAACAAAACAAACCCUACCCCCCAAAAAACAACCUACAAACAAAGCAAAAUAAAACAAACCCACCAAAAUAAAAAAUAACUUUUAACAACCUGAAAUGUUUUAAACACAGUAAAUGUUUGGCAAUUUAAUUUCAAAUUAUUUAUUUGGGCAUAAAUAGAUAUUGGUGUUUUUAAAGUUAGACUCAGUACCAGCACAGAAGGAUGGAAAUAAGUAAGAGAAAAAAAAAUCUGUGGUUCCCACAAUAACCAGGGUUUAAUACAUGAAAAGAGGAAAUUAUAUUCAAAUUACCAGUUGAAACACUACUGAGAAGCACUAAGGUACAAAAGGGCCUUGAAUGAAUAAUUCACUUCUCUCUGCAUUUGCUAAUAAAUUUAGUAUGGAUAAAUAUUAUUAAAUGAGAGCCCAAACAUCCAAAAGGAAAUAGGACUGAGUGUACUUUAAAGAAAUCUGCUUUUUGCUGGACUCCACUUUAAAAACUGCCCAAGAGGAACCAGGAAAAUGAUUCAUGGAUCCGAUAGAGCACAAAAACCUUCCAAAAGGAACCGAGCUGCUCCUUUCCUCAGGGGCAGCCCAGGCAGGGCUUUUCCAGGGCAGCAAACCCCCCGGAGCUCCCUGCAGCAGCUCUGCCCCGCUGCGGGCACAGCCCGGGCGCUUCGAGCUGGAAGCGCAGCUGAUCACCCGGGCUGGAAGCACGGAGCCUUCCCGGCUCCCUCAGCCCCACUGCGGCUCACAACGGUCCCUUCUGAGUCCCCCCUGUGGGAAUCCUGUCCCUGCAGGCCCGGCCACUUCCCCUCGGGUGGGGCAGGACUCAGCCCCGCUUAACCCUUCCCAGGAACUGCAAGGAAGAAAUUCCUGCCAGCCGCAGGGGAAAGGUGGAAAGGCCCCAGAGAAGAGACUGGAGAAGCUGCUCGUUAGGAAAUCAAGGCAAUGUUUAGAGUAAAGGUGCUCCGUGAUAAAGAGCAUGGAAGAAAUGUCAAUUUUAACCCCAUGUUCACACAGGCCUGAGAGAUAUGGAACAGUGGCUCCUAAGAGAGUCACACUCAUCUGUGUGAAUUAGGUGCUAGAAACCUUCUUGUCUCAAAACCAAAGUUAAAAAUUCCAAAUGUUACAUUGUAAGAUACAAAAAUUAGUAAGCUGAGGGCCAAAAUUCCUAUUUUAAAAGUAAAAGCACUACGUGGAGAAACUAAAGCCACUGGUUAAACACAACAACAACAAAAGACAGAAAAACACUUAUUGAGCUUUUGUUUCUCUGGUUGUGUGAGGAGAAAGGAGCCCCGUGCUGGAUUUGCACUGAAAUUGGUGCAUUCUGCUAAAGUGAUUAUUGUACAUAUUUGGUUACAUGGACAAUGUCAUGCUUAUUUAAGGCUCACAAAAAUACACUUGAGUUGCCUGAGAUGGUGUAACUGUGGGCAGAUGGCAGGACUGGAUUUGAAUUUCUGCCCAGCAGUGUCCAAGGUGUAAUGGAUCAUUUACAGGAGCACUCAGGAGAGCAGGGUGGGUGGGAAGUGGCUCCGUGCCACGGGCUGGAGGUGGAACCAAAUCCUGCCUGGGCUGGGCUGGCAAGGGCAGCUCCUGCCCCCUGCUCAGUGAGGGUGCUGGGCUCUAACUCUCAGCUCCUGCUUCCCACAGGGCCUGCAGCAAUCCCAAGUUCAAGGAUCCAUCCUUCCAUGGAGGUGUUUGCUGUGGCCUGUCCUGCUGCCCCUUGCAAAGAGAACUCUGGGAAGUUUCUUCCCACCCCACUCUGGGCAAUUCCAGCCUGUGUUAGCUGACUGGGGGUCACUGGAGUCAGCAGUUGUGUUGAUGGAGUGAUUUGGAGUUGUGAAUCUUAGGCUGGAUGUUGGGGAAGAAAUCAAAUGCAACUGAUACAACAGUCAAAACCAUACAUUUGACAAUGAAAGACCAAAAAUCCAGUUAAAUACUCGGCUCCCAAGAAGAAAGCUUCCAUUCCCCCCAGAGUCUCACAUCAUUUUCCUCUAUAAAGACUUAGCCAGGCUUCCCCUCAAACCCAGUAUUCUCACAUAAAAACCAGACACAAACCUGAUGUGUGCUGUGAAAGGAGAGCUCACUCCUCAGUGACAUCAGGAAGGAAACCUCAGCACGUGGGGCCCUGUUCAGUGAACAAACCUGCAGGAAACAGGCUUGGGCUGGGCCAAAAAUGACUCCACGAGGGCAGAGAGGGCUCCAAGGCCCAGGGGAGGGGACAGCAGUGACAGUUUCAAGCAGGGGCUCUCAGGCUCUGCCAAACACUUCAGCCCUUUCCUUUUUCAGGGAACUGGAAGGAUCUCUCAGUCACAAGUGGGGACGAUUGCCAGAGAUUGCCUCACUUCCCACAAACACCUGGCUCCUCCUGGGCAGGGCUGCCCUGGGCUCUGCCCCUCGCACAGAGGAGAGACACUCUGUACAGGAGGUAAGGGAGGCAACACAAUUGAAAUCACCACUUGCAGUAGCAAAAUACUGCUUUGAAAAUGUUUUUGGCAUCCAUUAGCUGGAAGUCAAGUAAAUACUGGCUUCAGGAAUCUUAAAAGUUUCUUCCUUGCUGCUCCCCACCUCGAGCCUUACACAACACCCAGGAAUGCACUGCCUGUGUCACAGGAGGUCAGCUGUGAGGAGAGACCUCCAAAUCCAGGAAUCUGAGAAAUGAAACGUUAUGAAAAGAUCCCAAAUAUCAAGAGCUCUCCAGAAAGCAGCUGCAGCAAACCAGGCCCUGGGAGCUGUGAGGUUUCCAACCAGCCCUGAGAGGUUUUGUGGCCAUGGUGGGAUUUGCACGAGGUUGUAAACCUGAAUGUGUUUUCUCUCUGAGACAGAGAACUGCUGAGCACAGAAACCUGUGUUUUCCCAUCAAAGGAUGGAAAAAUCCUAAUAACCUUUCUGAGGAAAGCCACAGUCCCUCAAAGUGUGAGCCCUGAACAAGGUAUUGAUGUUUUCAGCAGCAGCAGCCAGGUUCUUCCCUGACAGCACCACAAGGUCAUUUCCUGUGGAUGCAACAAACUUUGGGAAGUGCUUUGGCUCUGGUGAGAAUUUCUUACAGGUGACACCAGAGUCACCAGCCCAUUGUGGAGGCCCCAGGAGCCGUUCCAGGAGCCGGGUGUGGCUGUAAGCAGAGCAGGAACAACACCCCGAGCUGACAGGGCUCUCCUCGCCCCCCAGCAGGAAGGAGCCGCGGUUUCCUGCCCGGGCAGCGCCGGCACAGCCCGGAGUGAGCCCCGAGCACGGGGAUUCCACUCCAGCUCAGCAGCUCCUCUGCUGGAAGCUGACCUUUGCUUCAGUGCUACUGGAGUCACUGCUCUUUGACUCAGUUCAGGGAGAAUAAUAAUAAUAAUAAAUUAAUAAAACCUCAGCACAACCAAGGGCAGUGCUAAAGCAAACUGAGCCCAAGCUGGGCUCGUUCACAGGUUCACAUUUGCAGCUUUGUUCCACCACACCUGGACAGCACCAGCACUGAAGGGCUGAGUGGCCUCAACAGCCUCUUCACUCACAAUUCAAACAUGGUAGUAAUCACCUUUUUUGACCAAAAUACCAAUUUUUUCCUAAAUUUUUAACACAUUCCAAGCAGUCACUGAUGCAGGGCUCUCCCCAUUUGCUGGGAGGUGACAGAACAGCAGUGAGUUUCUGUUUGAGCUCCCUCCCCUCUUGUGGCAGCUGCCCCAGGUUGUUCCAGCCUCUCCCUCUGCCAGAACAAUGUUCUGCUGCCUCCAUGAAGGCAGAGUGGAUGCAUCAAUAAACAAGUGAAAUGCAUGAAGAAACUCAGGCCAGCAUUUCAUGCUCUCCAUUAGGCACUUGAAUUAGCAAAGCCACAGUGGGCUCAGAGAGCUUUUCACCAUGAUCCUCCUAACAAUGACUUUGCAGGAGCAUAUGUGAAUAUGUUUCUCCAGUCUGAAUGCAUGCGAGGCUGCACUCCCCUCCCCGGGGGCAGUGAUCAGCACUGAUCCCUCACCUGCCCAGCAGGAUCCCCUCCCACUGCCCACCUGCUGCUGCAGUCUGGGUGAAGCACUCACUGUUUGCUUACUGCCUUUCCUUCUCCUCCAAAAAACUAACCAAAUUUACAGGAAAAAAAGCAGAAUUUUAAAUCUCAGGAGAGUCAUUCCAAUUACCUUAUCUAGAACUACACUCAGCCUUCUAACUGCUGGUUACAAGGAUUUUUUAACCAUGUGCUUCAAAGAAAACAAAUUAUUUUUACCUCCAAAGAACACACCCAAGCCCCACUUUUCUUUCCAUUUGCCAUCAAUUCUGUUCACUAAUAUUUAUAUUUCUGCUUGAUAAUCAGGGCAACAUCCAGAGUGUUUUGCCUGCACUUAGCAGAGGCUGCAGCGAGAGGGAGGCUGAUUCCAACAAAUGAAAUGAUGAAGCCCAAAAGCACCGCAGGGAAGGACUUUGUGGAACAGCACCAAGCCCCUGUCAGGGGUUGGUGACAAGGAUCCUUCAGCAGGAACAGCAGCUGGGGGAGCUGAGGGAGCUGCAAACACAGACCAGGGUGACACUGGCAGGGCUGAGCACAGGGAGCAGCUCCUGACGAUGGAUGAGGCACGGGCUGAGCUGACCCGGCUCGCUGUGACCCAGCUCUGCUUGCAGCAAUUCCUGCCCGCUGGGGCACUGCAGAGGGGCACUGCCCC